UACAGAGGGUGCGAGCGUUGUCCGGAAUCACUGGGCGUAAAGGGCGCGUAGGUGGCCUGAUAAGUAGGGGUGAAAUCUCGAGGCUCAACUUCGGAGGCUGCCUCCUAAACUGUCAGGCUUGAGCAGAGUAGAGGCAGGUGGAAUUCCCGGUGUAGCGGUGGAAUGCGAGAGAUCGGGAAGAACAUCGGUGGCGGAAGGCGGCCUGCUGGGCGUCUUGCUGACACUGAGGCGCGACAGCGUGGGGGAGCAAACAGG
rnacentral:rRNA from 1 species